rnacentral:rRNA from 1 species
AUGAGCAGUAUAGGUAUAGUUCAGUCUGCUGUGAAGAAGGUCCAAGAAGUAGGGGUCGAUUUCGUGCAGGUCCAGGUGGUCGCCUCCGCGGUGCUCGCCAUUCUGGUGGUGGCGCUUAGCACGUAUGGCCGUCGCUGCCGCCACCCGGCACUCCGCCUCAUCAUCUCCGGCGCCUCCAUCGCCUUCAUCCCGCUCACCUCCUCCGCCAUCAACGCCUUGCUGGGGCAGAGGAAGGUGCUCAAGCUGUUGAAAGAGUGCCAAGACCCGACUUGCAAAGGCGGCAAGUACAGCCCAGAGGUCCAGACCAUGUGGACGCUCCUCCUGUGGAGCGUCCUCAUCCUCAUCAUCAAGGGCAACGCCGACACGGCCGCGGCCUCCGCUGCCGCCGCCUCCGCCUCCCCUUCCGCGGGCGACGUCGGUGUCGACGGCCAGAAGGUCCGGACCCCAGUGGAGCUCCUGGCUACGUAUGCCGUGGUGGUGUGGCUCAUCGUGGAGUGCAUUCCUGAGGCGGAAUGGUUGAAGUUCGAGGGAAAGGCGAUUUUCAUCGUCUUCUUCCUGCUCGGCUUUGCCAAGGUGGUGCUCAAGCUGGUCGCCUUCCUCAUGGCGAGCAGCUCCUACGCCGUCGGCAAGAACGCCCGGCUUGUCUCCGGCUACAUGGCGCAGCUGGUCGAGGAGGGCGCCGAGGAUGGCCACGGCCAUGUGCCUCCUUACGUGGUUGUAGGGGAGAGCAAGGAGCACGUCCAGGAAAAACCCCAGGGGUACCGCAUCAAGCGUGAAGCCCUCGAAGACAAACUGGGCGCCCUCGUGACGCUUGACCGCGUGUGGACGCUGUCCGACCACGGCGACGGCCUCCUCGCCAAGCGGCGGGAGUUGAAGGACCUCUGCCUCUCCUUCUCCCUCUUCAAGAGCCUCCGCCGUCGGCUCUCCGGAUACCCUCUGCCCGAGGAAGGGUCCAGUAACGCCCUCGACUUCGUGCUUAGGGGCAUGGAUGCUGCCGCCGGCAACGGCAAAGGAGGAACCGAUACCGACCGUGUGUUCCGGGUCCUUGUGGACGAGCUCUGGUUUGCAAGUGAUUUCUACUACUCGCCGCUCCCUCUGUGUUCGGUUAGUGGAUGGUGUGCUAUGCUCAACUACCUCCUUUCCGUCCUUAUCAUCGCCGGAGCUAUCGGCGUGGGAGUGGUUUAUCAAAUCAGAAGGGUGAUCGUUUUCACCAUAGAGGAUCCCCCUUCUGCCCCACCUGUCCCAUUUCCGACAACGGAGCAAAAAGCCUACUAUGUUAUCACUUUGUUCCUCCUGCUGGCCGCUAUGCUCACAGAAACCUGUGAGAUCAUCUCCGGCGUGUGCUCCAACUGGACCAAGAUGGCCUUGCUCGGCCGCUACAUCAGAAGCAGCAAGACGGGGCGCUACACCGACGCAGCGCUGGACGUGGUACUGCGUCUCAGGCCGGCCAAACGCUGGAGCAACAAGAUCGGGCAGGAUUCGGUGCUGGAGCCCCGCCGUUUCAGCAGGCGUUCCGGGCUUUUCUCCGAGAAGCUGUACGGGCGCGCAGGGCUGAUGAGGUCGGUGGAAGUCGCGCCGGCUGUGAAGGACGCGGUGCUCAGGUCCUUGAAGAGCAGCUAUGGGGGACUGGACAAAGGAAGCACGCCGGCGGCACACCGGGUGGGCCUCGGCGGCAAGGUCAACAGCUGGGCAUGGUCGGCCAUCGGCGCCGGAAGCGGCACCAGCAGCACCACGGAGCAUAUCCUCGCUUGCCACAUCGGCACGAGACUCUUCGAGAUCAAGUACUCGCACACGGCAUGCCCAACGUCGGCGGCGGCCGACAUGACAGCCGCCUGUCAUUUGUCCUACUACUGCGCGUACCUGGUGGCGGCCGCGCCAAGGCUGCUGCCGGACAGCCCGGCGUGGACCGACAAGCGGUACAAGGAAGUAGUAAAGGACGUGAAGGCGGCGCUGGGAAAGGACGACGACGGCGCCAGCGAGUCGACGACGCAAAGGUACGAGCGGCUGCUCAAGGAGCUGAGCGCGACCACCAGGGACGAGGUGCUGCAGCGCGGCGCCGAGCUUGGGAGCCGCCUGGUGGAGGCGUACGCGGAGAACGAGGCGGCGGCGUGGCGGUUCCUGGCGGAUUUCUGGUCGGAGAUGGUGCUCUUCGUCGCGCCGUCAAAGAACGUCAAGGGCCACGUCGAGGCCAUGGGUCGCGGCGGGGAGCUCGUCACGCUCGUCUGGGCGCUGCUCCUGCACGCCGGCGUCACAGACAGGACUGGGACACGUGACGGUACUGGCGUCCCGUAA